GAAGUGGAGUUGCAGUUGUAGGUGAGCUUGUCGAAACCACGGUUGUAGCUUCAGUUUUUUGUGUCGUUUCUGUAGAAGAGGCAGUAGUUGUAAGUGGAGGUUCAGUUGUAGGUGAGUUUGUUGAUUCAGUUGUUUGUGUCGUUUCUGUAGAAGAGGCAGUAGUUGGAAGUGGAGUUGCAGUUGUAGGUGAGUUUGUCGUAACCACAGUUGUAGGUUCAGUUGUUUGUGCCGUUUCUGUAGAAGAGGCAGUAGUUGGAAGUGGAGUUGCAGUUGUAGGUGAGUUUGUCGUAACCACAGUUGUAGGUUCAGUUGUUUGUGCCGUUUCUGUAGAAGAGGCAGUAGUUGGAAGUGGAGUUGCAGUUGUAGGUGAGUUUGUCGUAACCACAGUUGUAGGUUCAGUUGUUUGUGCCGUUUCUGUAGAAGAGGCAGUAGUUGGAAGUGGA